AUUGAACGCUGGCGGCAGGCCUAACACAUGCAAGUCGAGCGGAGCGGCGGACGGGUGAGUAAUGCCUAGGUAUCUGCCUGGUCGUGGUGGAUGGCGUCCGCCAUCGGGCGCUAAUACCGCAUACUAUCAGAUGAGCCUAGGUCGGAUUAGCUAGUUGGUGGGGUGAAGGCCUACCAAGGCGACGAUCCGUAACUGGUCUGAGAGGAGGAUCAGUCACACUGGAACUGAGACACGGUCCAGACUCCUACGGGAGGCAGCAGUGGGGAAUAUUGGACAAUGGGCGAAAGCCUGAUCCAGCCAUGCCGCGUGUGUGAAGAAGGUCUUCGGAUUGUAAAGCACUUUAAGUUGGGAGGCGGUACCAACAGAAGAAGCACCGGCUAACUACGUGCCAGCAGCCGCGGUAAUAC
rnacentral:rRNA from 1 species